ensembl:lncRNA
UUGUCAUGUGAAGACUGAAUCAGAGAGUAUCAAGUCAAAAAGCUGUGGGAAAAGAAGCAUCAGAGACAUAGUGAAUAAUGAUCUAAUUAGUGUAAGACCAUAAUUUCUAAAGUUCUUACAGUAUCAGUCAUUUGUCAUUCUUUCGGAUUACCUUCUUCUUCUUCUCUCUCUCUCUCUCUCUCUCUCUCUCUCUCUCUCUCUCUCUCUUUUUUCCGAGACAGGCUUUCUCUGUGUAGUUUUGGAGCCUAUCCUGGCACUCACUCUGGAGACCAGGCUGGCCUUAAACUCACAGAGAUCCCCCUGCCUCUGCCUCCCGAGUGCUGGGAUUAAAGGCGUGUGCCACCUUUCUCAUUCUAAAUAAAUGUUCACUUUUAUAAUCCCAUACUGCUCAUUCUGUGCUAUUUUUUUUUAAAAAGAGGAGUCUCCAUCCCAUUAUUGGCCCUGCAUAACCAUUAUAGUCCAUACUCAUACAUAAUCAUAAUUGACAUGAUCGAAUCAUACAGGUUUUUGAAAGUCAGGUGUGGACAUGCCGUAAAUUUUUUAGUGUGUUAUUUUAACUAAUAUGAUAUCAUCCUGACCAAAGUUUCCCCUCCCUGUCCCCUCCUCCCCCUCCUCCCCUCUGCAUCCCACAUCCAUCCCUCCUCCGUUUCUAUUCAGAAAAGGGUAGUCCUCCUAUGGAUAUCAACAAAACAUGGCAAAUCAACUUGUACUAAGACUGAGCACCUCCCCACGUCUUAAGGCUGUGGAAAGCAACCCGGUAUGGAGGAAUAUGGCCUCAAAAGCCACUAAAAGAGUCAGAGACAGCACCUGCUCCCAUUGUUAGGAGUCCCAUAACAGGUUCUCUGAUUGUUGGUCCAGUCUCUGUGAGUUCCUAUGAGCCCUGGUUAGUUGAUUCUGUGCAUUUUCUUGUGAUAUCCUUGACCCCUCUGGCUCCUAUAAUCCUUCCUUCCUCUCUUCAGCAGGAUUCCCUGAGCUUGGCCUAAUGUUUGACUGUGGAUCUAUGUAUCUGUUUCCACCAGUCGCUGGAUGAAGCCUCUUUGGUGACAACUGGGCUGGGCACCAAUCUAGGAGUACAGCAGAAUGUCAUUAGGCAUUAUUACAUUGACAUUUUUUUUCUCCAGUCAUGUUUGGUUCUAUCCUAGGUCUCUGGGCCAUCCGGCUUCUGGGUCCUGGUGCUUUAGGGAGUGUCAUGGGUGGGCUCUCACUUUCAUGGCAUGGUCUCUGAUUGGACUAGCCCUUGGUUGGCCACUCCCACAAUCUCUGUGUCACCCCUUAUUCCAGCACAUACCAUAGACCAGCCGGACUGAGGGUCAAACGCUAUGUGGCUGGGUUGGUGUCCUGUGGUUAAUUUUAUAUUAUAGAAUUGGGAGUAUCCCCAGGCAGGAGUAAGUUGGUCCAAAUGAAAUGAGUCAAGUACCUUUUUUGGGGUAUUUGAUUUAGUAAUACAAGAAAUUUAAAUUAAAUAAAUUCCAAAGCUCAUCUUUGCUCAGUGAUUUUUAUGAACAAGUAUUUCAGCGUCCACCCAAACAUAUAUGUUAUUUCUAAAUAAUACCAUCAGCUCUUCCUUCCCUCUAGAAGUUUAUAACCUAGACAUUGAAAAACUGGCACUUGUUUUAUUAUGGUCGAUAAUUAUUUUUUAAUCUAAUAUCUUGAGAGUUUUAUACAUGCGUAUGAUGUGUUUUGAUCAUCUUCAUCCUCAUUCCUUCCCCUAAUUCCUCUAAGGUCUACUCCCACCCAGCCAUUUCCAAAUUUGUGUUCUUUUACAAUUUUUUUUUUAGCCCAUUGAUACCAAUUUGUUCUGCUUUCAUACUCAUAAAUGUUAAGCCAUUCACCAGAGCAGGGCUGACUGGUAGACAUCUUGCUGGAAGUUCUGUUUCUUUGUUUCAUAUGUUGGUUUACGUUUCGGACCAAAGCAGCAUGGGUUUGUAUGACCAAAAUAUUGAAGUCAUGCCACCCGUGUCUGCCCUCAUGGACCAGCAGGAUAUAUGCCCAGUCACUAGGUUGCUAUCUCAAUUUCACUGUCACUAUCAGCUGCUCCUACCUAUUUGAGGGAUGCUCACACGACUCUGCUUUGGUAGACCCCUCCAGUUUCUAAUGCAGCAUCCUAUCUGAUAUUUCUCCUAUGAUACCUGUUAUGGGGACAACCCUAUGAUCACAAGGGAUGGUGCCAUGACAUUAUUCUCUAUUGCUUUUUUUGACUACAACUGAACAUCUGUAAUCUGUAUACAUUUCAAAAUCCAGUUUGCGUGUGUGUGUGUGUGUGUGUGUGUGUGUGUGUGUGUGUGUGUGUGUGUGUAUGUGUGUGUGUGUGUGCAAGCAUGCUUGUGUGUGCUUGUGUGGGUAUAGAUGCUUGCACAGCAUCUAUGUGGAGAUGAGAAGACAACCCCAAAAGUCAGUCCUCAGGCACCUUUCACCUUUAGUUUCGGACAGGAUCUACCAUUAUUCUGGAAUUUUAUUGCAUUUGCCAGAUGAAGACCAUGCUGUAAGCUGCUAGGGAUCCUUUUGUCCCUGUCUUGCUGCUGCUGGAAUUACACGUGUGCACUACCAUGCUCACUUUUUAAAAAAAAAAUGAAGGAUCUAGGGAUCUGAACUUAGGUCCUCAGGCUUGCAAACAAGUCCUUUGCUGGCUGAGUCUUUUCUUCAACUUUCAGAGCGAGACGUUUUCAUUUAAUGGUUUAUGUUCUUCUUCUCAUGUUAGAAAAUUGACAGAGCCAUGCUUUUGCUUAUGUUUCUAUUUUCAUGCCCAAGUUAAUUUAUUAUUCACUUAUUGAGUUGAUCCAUCUCCUUUCCUUUUCAACAAGAAUUCAAGUUGGAUUUUUUUUUUUUAAAUCAAUGGGGGAAUUUUGGUCACAUUAAAACAGCGGUUUUGGACCCUGGCAAGGCCAUACGCUGUAUUUGGGUUUGAUUUCAGUUUCCAAAGAUAACUUAAGAAAGUGACAACAACCUUUAAUGGGGCCAGUUGCGUAAUUGAGUGAUUAGUCUGAGAACAGAAAUGUCAGCGUUGCUAAAAACCUCUAACCUGGUUAUUUUAGAGGUGUUUUAGUGUGGCACACACCAUGUAAAGAGAACUCCCGCCCGACAUAACUUUUCUGUUUACACAAAAGCCAGGAUGGUUCAUUCAAUAGUUCCCUCAUAAAUAUUUGUUAGGGCACCAGACGAAAAGUCUCUGACUGCUUCACAGACCUGCAGCAGUUCUCCAGACUGAGAAUCAGGACGAAGAUGGAAGUCACAGUUCAGCUUGACAGGGAAAAAGAAACCCUACUUUUUUUUGAGCUUUAUUUUUAUAUUUUAUUUUUUAUUAGUUCAAAUUAGUAACAAGCUUGCUUCACAUGUCAAUCCCUUCUCCCACUCCCUCCCCUCCCCCAGCCCCCACUAAUCCCCCCUGCCCCCUGCUCCCCAGGGAGUGUAGGGCCCUCUGGGGGGGGGCUCCCAAAUUCCACCACAUUAUCCUGGGCAGGGCCUAGGCCCUUCCCCAUGUGUCCAGGCCGAGAGAGCAUCCCUUCACGUGGGAUGGGCUCUCAAAGUCCCUCCUUACACUAGGGAAAAAUACUAAUCCACUACCAGGGGCUCCAUAGAAUGAUGAGGCCUCCUCAUUGACAUCCAUGUUCAGGGGUCUGGAUCAGUCCUGUACUGGCCUCCCAGACAGCAUCUGGGGUCCAUGUGUUCCCCAUUGUUCAGGUCAGCUGAUUCUGUGGGAUUCACCAGCCUGGUCCCAACCCCUUUGAUCUUCAUUCCCCACUCUCUGUAAUUGGGUUCCAGAGUUCAGUUCAGUGUAUAUCUGUGGUGUCUGCCUCUGCUCCCAUCAGCCACUAGAUGAGGGCUCUAGGAUGGCAUAUAAAGUAGUCAUCAGUCUCAUUAUAGGGGAAGGGCAUUUAGGGUUGCCUCUCCACCAUUGCCUAGAUUGUCAGUUCGUGUCAUCCUUGAAGAUCUCUGGAAAUCUCCCUGGUGCCAGAUCUCUCCUGGGACCUAUAAUGGCUCCCUCUGCUAAGAUAUCUCUCAUCCUGCUCUUCUCUAUUCUUCCCCCAACUCAACCUUUCUGCUCCUCCAUUUCCUCCUCUCCCCUCCUUCUCUUCUCUUCUCAUUCUGCCAGCUCCAUCUCCCCUACCCUCAUGUUCCCAAUUAGCUCAGGAGAUAUACUGCCCCUUCCCAUUCUCCAGGGUCCAUGCAUUUUUCUCUUAGAGUUCUUCUUGUUUCCUAGUUCCUUUGGUGAAGAGGAUUGUAGGCUGGGGUAAUCCUUUGCUCUAUGUCUAAAAUUCAUAUAUGAGCGAGUACAUACCAUGUUUGUCUUUUUGUGACUGGGUUACCUCACUCAGGAUGAAGAAACCCUACUUCUGAGGUUCAGCCUGAAGGACAGAAUGCUGGUGGAAGAUUUUUGGCAGGAAAUGGAUGGAUCAAGAAGGGGAUAGAGGCUCCAUACCCCCGAGACGGAAAAAGACGUGCAAUCAGGAGGUGUGUUCAUCAGUUCUAUCCGGGACAAGCAGUUGUUUGGAGUGGCUUAGAGACACGGGAGUGGUGGAAAUAGACACCGAAUGCCUCCUCUUCCAUGUCAGUCCAAGGAAGAGAACAUGUUUGGCUGAGGAAAUCUGGCCUUCUUUACAGGGGCAUGACGCUGGCCUGUCAGUACCAUCAGAGAGUUCUGGAGUCAGAUAACUGUUCUCACGAAAUUGACCUGUCAUUUCUUGAACUGACGUAGUUCAGCAGAGGAGAGAUGACUCUAUGAAGAGCAGCACCUAGCCUAGGGCAGUUAAAGUGAGGGUUGACUGUCUACACGCACAAAUAAGAAUUAAACAUUUGGAAAUCUGAUCACAUUUCAGCGUUAUAAUGAGUCUCUAUUGCUUCAUUGUCAGUAGUCGCCAUAAACAUCCUCAUAAAACAGUUA